rnacentral:rRNA from 1 species
UGGCCUUGACAUCCAGAGAACUUAGCAGAGAUGCUUUGGUGCCUUCGGGAACUCUGAGACAGGUGCUGCAUGGCUGUCGUCAGCUCGUGUUGUGAAAUGUUGGGUUAAGUCCCGCAACGAGCGCAACCCUUAUCCUUUGUUGCCAGCGGCUCGGCCGGGAACUCAAAGGAGACUGCCGGUGAUAAACCGGAGGAAGGUGGGGAUGACGUCAAGUCAUCAUGGCCCUUACGGCCAGGGCUACACACGUGCUACAAUGGCGCAUACAAAGAGAAGCGACCUCGCGAGAGCAAGCGGACCUCAUAAAGUGCGUCGUAGUCCGGAUUGGAGUCUGCAACUCGACUCCAUGAAGUCGGAAUCGCUAGUAAUCGUAGAUCAGAAUGCUACGGUGAAUACGUUCCCGGGCCUU